UACGUAUGGUGCAAGCGUUAUCCGGAUUUACUGGGUGUAAAGGGUGCGUAGGUGGCAAGGCAAGUCUGAAGUGAAAAUCCGGGGCUCAACCCCGGAACUGCUUUGGAAACUGUUUAGCUGGAGUACAGGAGAGGUAAGUGGAAUUCCUAGUGAAGCGGUGAAAUGCGUAGAUAUUAGGAGGAACACCAGUGGCGAAGGCGACUUACUGGACUGCUACUGACACUGAGGCACGAAAGCGUGGGGAGCAAACAGG
rnacentral:rRNA from 1 species